CAAUCAAAUCUUAUUCUCUCUAUAUUUCUAAUCUGAGUCUGAAUUCAUCCUCUUUCUCUUCCCCAAUUAACACCUUCUCUUCACUAGCAAACACCUUCACACAACUGCAAAACAACUCUUUUUGAGAGAAAAGAAUGGAGAUAGGUUGAUUAGUUUCAUACACAGACCAUAAACUUAAGAUCUAAGAGACGUUGAAGGCGUUGACGGUGAUGCGGUGUUCGAAACCAUAAAAUCAAUUAAAGCCUUAGCCACCUCCGGUAUUGCGGUGUCUUUGGCGAAUGAGGACGAUGAAGAUCAAGAUCGGCUCUGGCUUUAUUUAUUUUUUUGUUGAAAUUAGGGAAGCAAUGCAAAAAGGAAACUGUGAAGAACAUGUUGAUUUAGCGGUGAAAACGGAGGGAAGUGAAUGCAGCAAGAGAAGCACGGAAAGACGUGUCGAAAAACAAGAAAAAAAUGAAGAAGUUGCUGAUCAGGACCCCUUACGGACCGUAAGACCUGGUCUUUACGGUCCGCAAAGAGGGGGCGCGCGCUGGAAUUUCCUAACAACCUUACGGGCCGCAAAGCAUCACCCAUACGGUCUGUAAGCAUGUCGGUUUUCGCAAAAGUUGUUAUAAAUACAAUACAACCGAUUAGGGUUAGGGGUAUCGCAUACCAGACGGCAUUGGAGCAUUCUUGGACGAUUUUGGAGCAUCUUGGAGCUGUGCAAAGGUCUUGGAAGCUUUCGGUUCGAGUUUUGAGCAAUUCGGGUUCGUUAAACAUUAGUUUUUCGGUUUCUAUUCGAUUUUGGAGCAUCUUGGAGCUGUCACCCAACAGUGACGUCUAUCACUAUUUAGGUCUGUUCACCUAAAAGUGACAUGUAUCAUGACUUAGGUACGCCCACCUAAUCUGAUAAAACAACAGUAAUGUGCACAAUACCCCACUUACUGCCAGUAACUUUAAGAUUUGCAAAGACUUAA